GGAUAAAAGUCGUAACAGGGUCUCCGUUGGUGAACCAGCGGAGGGAUCAUUACAGAGUUUUCACAACUCCCAACCCUUGCGAACCGUACCCAUUCUGUUCUCGUUGCUUCCGGCGGGCCCUACGAAUCUUUAUAUCUCAACCACCAGAAACCGUCUGAGAAAACAAACAAAAUAAUCAAAACCUUCAACAACGGAUCUCUUGGCUCUG
rnacentral:misc_RNA from 1 species